GACGAACGCUGGCGGCGCGCUUAAUACAUGCAAGUCGAGCGAGAACCAGGGCUUCGGCCCUGGGGACAGCGGCGAACGGGUGAGUAACACGUGGGUAAUCAACCCCCGACACCGGGAUAGCCCAGGGAAACUUGGAUUAAUACCGGAUGCCCCAUCUGGCUUUCGAGCCGGCUGGAAAAGGGUAGCUUCGGCCUCCGGUCGGGGACGAGCCCGCGGCGGAUUAGCUUGUUGGUGGGGUAAAGGCUCACCAAGGCGACGAUCCGUAGCUGGUCUGAGAAGACGAUCAGCCACCCUGGGACUGGGACACGGCCCCGACUCCUACGGGAGGCAGCAGUAGGGAAUCUUGCGCAAUGGGCGAAAGCCUGACGCAGCGACGCCGCGUGAGGGAAGAAGGCCUUCGGGUUGUAAACCGCUUUCAGGAGGGACGAAGCCACUCGGGUUAAUAGCCUAGAGGGUGACGGUACCUCCAGAAGAAGCCCCGGCUAACUACGUGCCAGCCGCCGCGGUAACAC
rnacentral:rRNA from 1 species